CCAAUCAGGGGAUGCGCUGGUUCCUGUCAUUACGGCAGGCGAAGAGGGAAUGCGACAGGUUUGCGAUCCGAAAUCGGAUCGGAUCUGAGCGCAGCCGCCCCCGCGACCGUGACCGGAGAGGUCGCCUCAAGCCACUGGCCCCAUGGCCGGGAAGGAGAGGAGACCGCCGGGCCCUGACAAGGGCCCGGGAUCCGCAAGCCGGGAGACCUGCCAGCGUUGAUGAUUACGG
rnacentral:ncRNA from 2 species